GAUGAACGCUGGCGGCGUGCCUAAUACAUGCAAGUCGAGCGAACAGACGAGGAGCUUGCUCCUCUGAUGUUAGCAGCGGACGGGUGAGUAACACGUGGAUAACCUACCUAUAAGACUGGGAUAACUUCGGGAAACCGGAGCUAAUACCGGAUAACAUGUUGAACCGCAUGGUUCAACAGUGAAAGACGGUCUUGCUGUCACUUAUAGAUGGAUCCGCGCCGCAUUAGCUAGUUGGUAAGGUAACGGCUUACCAAGGCAACGAUGCGUAGCCGACCUGAGAGGGUGAUCGGCCACACUGGAACUGAGACACGGUCCAGACUCCUACGGGAGGCAGCAGUAGGGAAUCUUCCGCAAUGGGCGAAAGCCUGACGGAGCAACGCCGCGUGAGUGAAGAAGGUCUUCGGAUCGUAAAACUCUGUUAUUAGGGAAGAACAAAUGUGUAAGUAACUAUGCACGUCUUGACGGUACCUAAUCAGAAAGCCACGGCUAACUACGUG
rnacentral:rRNA from 1 species